AGGCCAAUAGGCUAAGUAGAGAAAAACUUACGAGAUUAACAGGAGCUUUGACAUGUUUAACAAGAGCAGAAGAGCACUGGUCGUCUCUGAUGUCGUGCCUGUGGUGUUUCCAUAUGUAUUGCGCCUCCAUCAUACCGUAAGC